rnacentral:rRNA from 1 species
UACGUAGGGGGCUAGCGUUGUCCGGAAUCAUUGGGCGUAAAGCGCGUGUAGGCGGUCCGGUAAGUCCGCUGUGAAAGUCGGGGGCUCAACCCUCGGAUGCCGGUGGAUACUGUCGGGCUUGAGUACGGAAGAGGCGAGUGGAAUUCCUGGUGUAGCGGUGAAAUGCGUAGAUAUCGGAAGGAACACCAGUGGCGAAAGCGGCUUCCUGGUCCAGCACCGACGUUCAGGCACGAAAGCGUGGGGAGCAAACAGG